ACGUGCCAUGGCCAUCGUCAUGGGCGCAAACAUACACCACAGUGUCCUGCUCCUUCCUGUUAUCCAAACUGUGUGCGAGACUGUUCACCGCUCAAAGCGGCAGUUGCUUCGCGGUCCUAACAAGCUAACACCACGUCAAUUGGUAAUGUGCGGCAGGCGAUACUCUACCCAUUGCAAUUACUCCCAAUUUUAGUCUGCUGACCCAGAAAUGCACAUGGCCAUGCGCACCGCCUAAGCCAUCAGGGGUUUGUGAACAGAACCUGGCAGCAAGUGGACACAACUAGGAAUUGAACCUAGCGAGAAAAAAAAAAAAAAAGAAACCGGAAAACUCCUGAAACCUCAGGGCCUCGGACAGCGUCAUUUCACAACAAGACCUUGUAUCCCAACGAGCGCAAACUUGGAGUGCCUCACCACCAAUGAACCAAGUUCGCAGCGUGAUGCUCCAGAUCAGUACUGUAGCGAAGAGGACGAUUCGUUAUUCCCAACACAGUACGCCGACUGCGGGUACGUAGGUACUGCGCCUGUACAAUCAUACUGGUCCUUUGCCGUUGCGUCGCUUCAGGCAUACAAACACAUUUGCAGGAAGCGCAGAUUGUUGUGCUAUGUCGUGCAUGAUUUG